UGAGGAAUAUUGGUCAAUGGACGCAAGUCUGAACCAGCCAUGCCGCGUGCAGGAUGAAGGUGCUAUGCAUUGUAAACUGCUUUUGUACGAGGGUAAAUGCAGGUACGUGUACCUGUUUGAAAGUAUCGUACGAAUAAGGGUCGGCUAACUCCGUGCCAGCAGCCGCGGUAAUACGGAGGACCCGAGCGUUAUCCGGAUUUAUUGGGUUUAAAGGGUGCGUAGGCGGAUUAGUAAGUUAGAGGUGAAAGCUCGAUGCUCAACAUCGAAAUUGCCUCUGAUACUGUUAGUCUAGAGUAUAGUUGCGGAAGGCGGAAUGUGUGGUGUAGCGGUGAAAUGCUUAGAUAUCACACAGAACACCGAUUGCGAAGGCAGCUUUCCAAGCUAUUACUGACGCUGAUGC
rnacentral:rRNA from 1 species